rnacentral:rRNA from 1 species
AUUGAACGCUGGCGGCAGGCCUAACACAUGCAAGUCGAGCGAGCGGCCGAGGGGUGAGUAAUGCCUAGGAAUCUGCCUGGUUGUGGGGGCUAACGUCCGGAAACGGGCGAUAAUACCGCAUACUAUUGCAUGAUUCCAUAUGGGAUUAGCUAGUUGGUGAGGUAAUGGCUCACCAAGGCGACGAUCCCUAGCUGGUCUGAGAGGAUGAUCAGCCACACUGGAACUGAGACACGGCCCAGACUCCUACGGGAGGCAGCAGUGGGGAAUAUUGCACAAUGGGCGCAAGCCUGAUGCAGCCAUGCCGCGUGUGUGAAGAAGGCCCUAGGGUUGUAAAGUACUUUCAGUCGGGAGGCGUUACCGACAGAAGAAGCACCGGCUAACUCCGUGCCAGCAGCCGCGGUAAUUC